GACUGAGCGUCCCCAUUGGUGUGAGCGCGGAGUCUCCUGCGGGCUCUGCUGGUCACUAAAAUGUGUCUGACGGUGAGAACAUUGAGCAGCAGAAUCAGGAGAAAUGGGACACCCGGGGUUAGAAUGUGGUGGAGGAACUCGAUUGUGACCCAGACACUGGAGGAUUGAACAGCGACUGUUACAUCACAAAACCAGGGGGCGUUCCCCAGCCGAUACCGAGCCGUGAGCAUAAAAUACCAGAAAAUGUUCUUUAAACAGCUCAGCACAGUCACUGCUCCCAGAACCACAGCCGCCGUUUUCUCACUGCAAUAUUUACUUUUCAGCUUCUGGCAACAAAUGGCCACAAACCGAUCAAAGGUGAAAGUGACGGUGAACCAGACAGAGCAGUCAGUGGCUGCAUAAAGCAGGACGGCGUGGAUAUUACACACGGGGACGGAGUCCCUCAGGAAAUAAAACUGUUCCCGAUAAACAAUGGGAAUGUGUCUCAGGAUCAGGUCGAGGAUAAUGACCAGGAGAUCCGCCGCUGCCAUGGCCCCCAGGUAUCUGUGUUAGCUGUUUGGAUACAGAAUUGGCUGGCCAACAGAAGACAGCGAGUGGAAGUGGAAGGAAAAUAUUCUGCCUGGAAGUCAUGGGACAUAUAAACAUAUCUUCAAAUCGUCCAAGACCAUUUUCUGCUCAGGGUAUGGCUCUGUGUAUGACAGCAGCAAUGAUGCACCGACAUGGAGCAGGGAAUGUGAUGGAGACAUAGUUUGGACAAUGUACAAGGAGACCUCACAUGGUCCAGUUUGGGAGAGGAUGGCAUUAUUGUGUGAUUCAACUCAGAGAGGGAGAAAAUGUCAUCUGCCCGAGAAGAAACGGCCUAUUGCACUCUCUCUCCUUCAUUCUUCCUCAUCACAGUAACGUGUAUGAGCUAAAACACAACUCUACUGUUAUUGUUACCAUUCUUAUUUUUAUAGAAUCCCUGCAUUGUGGAAACAAGCCCUUCGGACCAACAAGUCCAUACUAACCCUCCAAAGAGUAACCUUCCCAUGGCCUUACAGUUACCACUGACUAGUGCACCUAAAGUAGAAAUCGCUGAACACUAUGGAUUAUUUGACCAAUCCACUUGAAUUAUACAGCUUUGGGCUGUGGGUGGAAACAGGGACACCCAUCAGAAGCUCACGCAGACAAGAGGAGAAGAUCCAAACUCCACGCAGAUAGUCACUCGAGGCUGGAAUUGAACUCACGUCCCUAAUGCUGUGAGGCAGCAGUGCUAACUUCUGAGCCACUGUGCUAACCUGGAACCUCCUGCCUGCCUAAUGCAAAGGGAAUUCAGCCAAAUCCAACUCUCCCAGGAUAAAAUCCCAUUGCUAGCAGCUGUCUCUGCUGAAUAAACACUCAGCUUCAUCACUCGAUCCUCGUGAUACCAUCACCCGUUUCUGUGGUAAGGAGAUCAUUCCUUACAAAGGAGAUCAAAUCCGUAGAGAGUGUCCCAACCACAGUCUCAGCAAGGCCCUACAACAGCAGGAAGAUGGAUUUACUUAUGUACUUGAAUCAUCCUUCAAUGAAGGACAGCAUACCAUAGCCUGCACCCAUUACUUACACAGGAUUUGAUUCGGAGCAGUCAGCAUAGACUUGUGAGUGGGAGGUCAUGUUUCCCAAAUUUGUUAGAGUUCGUUGAUGAAGUGACCAAGAAGGUUGAUGAGGGCCGACCGGUAACCAUAGUCUCUAUGGAUAUCAGUAAGGCCUUUCAUGGAAUGCCCUGCCCGUAUCAGUGGUGAACUCUCCUUCUUUAUGGUCAUUUAAGCGGGCAUUGGAUAGGCAUUUGGAAGUUAUUGGGCUAGUAUAGGUUAGGUAGGAUUCAGUCGGCGCAACAUCGAGGGCCAAAGGGCCUGUACUGCGCUGUAUCCUUCUAUGUUCUAUAAGGUUCCACAUGGCAGGCUGCUCUGGAGAGUUACAUCAUGUGGAAUGCUGGGGAGCCGGCCAAUUGGAUGCACAGUUGGCUUGACGGUAGGAAGCAGAGGGUUUAGUGGAAGGACGCUUCUCAGACUGGAGGCUGGGUCCAUUGCUGUUUGUUAUCUAUGAUUUGGUUGAGAAUGUACAAGGUAUGAUUAGUAAAUUUGCAGAUGACACUAAAAUAAGUGGGAGCAUGAUCAGUGUGGAAGUUUAUCUGAAAUUGCAGCAGGACCUUAAUCAGUUGGGCAAGUGGGCCGAGAAAUGGCAAAUGGAAUUUAAUAUAGAUGCGUGAUGUCUUGCAUUUUGGAAACUCAACUCAAGGUAAGAGUUUCACAGCGAAUGGGAGGGCCUUAAGGGGUGUAGUGGACAGAGAGACCUUGGCGUUCAGGCUCACGGUUCUCUGAGAGUGGAGUUACAUGUAGACUGACUGACACACUGACCUUCAUCAGGCCGGACAUUGAGUAUGGAAGUUGGGAAUUUAUGUUGCAGUCACACAGGACUUUGGUAAGGCCGCACUUGGAGGAUUCUGUUCAGAUUUUGCCAAUUUGUUAUAGGGAGCAUUUUAUGAAAUUAGAAAGAGUGCAGAAUAAAUUUCCAUGGACGUUGCCAGGACGCAAUGGUCUGAGUUGUAGGGAGAGGUGGACAAGCUAUCGAGUGUAGGAGAUUGAGGGGGGGGGGGCCUUAUCGAGCUGGAGAAAAUCAUGAGGGGCAUGGAUAGGGUAAUGCUCUCAGUCUUUGUCCAAGGUGUAGAGAAUCAAGGACGAGAUGUGAUCAUUUUAAGGUUAAAGGGGAAGGAAUAAAAUGAACCUGAGGGGUCGCUUCUUUACACAUAGGCUUGUUCGUGGAUGAGCAGCCAGCAGAUGUGGUCGAGAUGGAUACGUUAACAACACUCCAAAAGCAUUUGGAUAAAUAUGUGGAUGAGAAGGAUUAGAAGGAUAUGGGCCAGCUGCAGGGAAAUGGGGUUAGCGUCGAUGGACAUUUACAAGGUGGAGUCGAACCCCUCUGUUAAGUAAAACCAAGCAUCCAGAAAAGCUCGCCUCACCUUGUAAUCUGUUAAAAUAUGAGCGUCACAGAUCUCGUACAUCCCACUAUUUAAACAAACAUUCACAAAUUAAUUUCUUAACUUUAGUAGUGAACACUGAACAACAGCUGUUCACAAAUACAAGCCCCUCUUUUCUUAGCUACUUAAUAUCUGUUUCCAACUCUGUAAAAAUAUGCUGUUCCAACAACCCACAUAUUAAACAUUACAAUCUCAAGACCACACAGUCUCCAUCUUCCACGAUGUGUUCACUCUUCCAGCUGCUGAUCUCCCUGGGUCACAUUUUCUUUUACUGCAAGUAGGUUUGUCAUGAACUUGUAUCUU